GACAACAGGUCAACCAUCUGAACGAACAGCUCACUACUGACACAGAACAUGGAGCGAGACUUCACCCCAGGAUUCACAAUUUUCUAUGAUUCUUCGAGUAGAGAAGCAGGAGGAAGAAGGGAAUUCACGUCGAUCUGCCCUCUGUGCAAUAAAGAGACAAAGAAGCACAUCACUAUCUCGUGUGGACACACCUUCUGCAGGAGUUGCUACCAUGAAUAUGAAGAGGCCAAAGGGCAAUUUGGAUAUAGUUGUCCAUCAUGUAUCAACCAAGUACCAGAUGAGCCCCUGCAGCUAGUAAGUGUUGAUGAGAGUGGUCUGCUGGUUCUACAAGAGAGGGUCCUGUAUAGCUGUUUCCUGGGUCGAAGGAUUGAAGAAUACCCCGUCUACGUGAUAAGUGUGAUCGGAGAGAGACGGAGAGGAAAAUCCUUUCUAAUGAAUUACCUCAUUAAAGCCCUCCAAAGCCAGGAGACAGCUAAGGAAUUUGAUCUUGGAGCAGAAGACGAGAUAUUGAAGGGUUUUCCUUGGAAGCCUGGAACAGACAGAGUUACUUAUGGGAUUUGGAUAUGGAGUAAACCUUUCAUCUUGGAGCGAAAUGGACAGAAGGUCGCUGUAUUUCUGCUGGACACUGAAGGCUCCAUGGAUAUGGAAGGUGAUAGAAAAGCCUGCAUAAAGAUGUGCAUGUUAACCAUGCUCCUCAGCUCACACCUUAUUUGCAAUGUGAAUAAUGACAUAAAAGAAACAGACAUCGACUAUCUUGAGCUGUACUGUGAUGGAAUCAACCGCGAUAAACUGGAUAAUUUAAAAUACUUUGAUUUUUUGAUUCGAAAUUGGCAUGACCCUGAGAAAUGUACAGCAAAUGAUGCCAAAUCCUAUAUGACAAAGGAAACUGAGAAAAUGAAGAAUAGAUACAAGAACUGCAACUUUUUGGCGGUUCUUCGCCAGUGUUUUUCCAAAUGCUUUUUGAUGCCACACCCAGGAACAGAAAUCACUAGCAAGGAGACGGGAAGACUUAAAGAUAUGAAUAAAGAAUUCCAGGACAGCUUGAGAACAUAUCUGUCAGGCGUUGUAGAGAGAGUCCAGCUCAAACUCGGACCUGCUGACCAUACAAAUACGCUCACAUGUAGUGAGAUGUUUCAGAUGAUGACGGUGUUUGUGUCGUACAUUAAUGAUCUGAAGUACAACAUCUCCAGUCCUUCAGAGAUGUAUAACAAGAGACAGAACCAGGAACGCAUGGAAGAAAUAAAGAACGAGUUUCGAGAAUUUCUCAGUAGCUGGCCCAUGUGGCGACUCAGAAUAGGGGAUACGGUUGCCAACAAGAUCUCAGAACUUCAACAGAAAUUUAAGGAAUCUUUCAUAUAUAUAAAUGAAGAUGAUCGCAAGGACCAGCUGGAGAAGCUGAGGAUAUAUUUGGUUACUGAAGGAGACAAGUUCUGCAGGAAUCACAAUAUUCAACUUCUACUAAAAGGGAUUCCUUUGGUAGCAUUGGCGGCAGGUCCAGCAGGAGCACUUAUGGCGGCUGGGGCGGCACCAGCAGCAGUAGCAAAUCCAUCAACAGUUGAGAUGGUUGUCAGUGCAGCUACAGCAGGUGUGCAAGCAGUUUGGGCUCUGGUGCGUAGACCGUUUUGAUAUAAAUAUGUGGUAAGAUUGGGAAUAUUCAGGGGCAUUGUGAUGAUUUCAAACUUAAAAAAAAAUUGGGUGGGCACCACAAAUCAAAUAGUAGAGCUACAUACCGUAGUCGAUAGGCUCACAGAAAGGCACAGAACCAUCUAGUCCAAUCUAUAAUCCUAUCAUGUGAUACAGAGGAAGGUAAAAGCUGGAGGUCACCAAUUAUUCCUAUUAGGUGCUCAACAAACAUCUCAUGUCCAGAAAUCUAGUAAAUACAAUUAUUUAUUUUUUACCAAUGAAGUAACUAGAGUGCUAUGGGCCCCAGGGCAAACUUUGGAUCGGGGCCCCUUCCCACGCUGUGCCCGGUUACACCCUCUGUGACCGCGAUUGUUGCACCCCUGGUCCCUAAUCCCCCAGUAAUGCUCCCGGUAAUGUCUUUCACUGCCCCCGGUAAUGUCCCCCACUGCUCCAGCAGGUAGUGCCACCCCCUGCCCCAGCAAUGUCUCCUACAGCCCCCAGUAGUGUCCCC